rnacentral:rRNA from 1 species
UGGCGGACUGAUGAGUAACGCUUCCGUAACGUCCCCUUUAGCUGCAAAUAGCCUUAAGAAUUUAAUGAUAAUACCGAAUAACCUGCUCUAUAUACUAGGUAGAGCAGGAAAGGAUCUCUUGAUUCUCUGAAGACACGCCCCACGUACUAAUAGCUAGUUGGUGAGGUACCGCUCCACCACGGCGAGGUUAUUAACCCGCCCUAAGAGGGUGAUCGGUCACAUUGCGACUGAGAUACGGCCCAGACUCCUACGGGAGGCAGCAGCUAAGAAUAUUCCGCAAUGGACGAAAGUCUAACGGAGCGACUCCGCGUCGAUGAUGAAGCUCGGAAGAUUGUAAAAUCCUUAUAUAACUGAGGAAUAAGCAGUGUGAGAGAAACGCACUGUAGUGACUGUACGUUAUGAGUAGGCAACGACUACUAACGUGCCAGCAGCCGCGGUAACACGUAGGUUGCAAGCGUUGUUCGGAAUUAUUGGGCGUAAAGGGACAUGUAGGCGGUUUUGCAAGCUUGGUGUGAAAUCUCGGAGCUCAACUCCGAAAUUGCCUUGAGACCUGCAUGACUGGAGUCACUGAGGGGCAAUCAGAAUUCCUGGUGUAGGGGUGAAAUCUGUAGAUAUCAGGAAGAAUACCAAUGGCGAAGGCAGGUUACCAGCAGAUGACUGACGCUGAGGUGCGAAGGUGCGGGGAGCAAACAGGAUUAGAUACCCUGGUAGUCCGCACAGUCAACGAUGUACACUAGAUGUCUGCACACAAGUGUGGGUGUCGAAGCAAACGCGAUAAGUGUACCGCCUGGGGAGUAUGCCCGCAAGGGUGAAACUCAAAGGAAUUGACGGGGGCCCGCACAAGCGGUGGAGCAUGUGGUUUAAUUCGAUGGUACGCGAGGAACCUUACCUGGGUUUGACAUACAGAGGAAUGAUAUAGAGAUAUAUCAGCGUAGCAAUACGUCUCUGAACAGGUGCUGCAUGGCUGUCGUCAGCUCGUGCCGUGAGGUGUUGGGUUAAGUCCCGCAACGAGCGCAACCCCUACUACCAGUUACUAGCAGGUAAUGCUGAGGACUCUGGCGGAACUGCCGGUGACAAACCGGAGGAAGGUGGGGAUGACGUCAAGUCAUCAUGGCCCUUAUGUCCAGGGCUACACACGUGCUACAAUGGUUGGUACAGAGUGAUGCGAAGCGGUGACGUGGAGCAAAACGCAUAAAACCAAUCGUAGUUCGGAUUGGAGUCUGAAACUCGACUUCAUGAAGUCGGAAUCUCUAGUAAUCGCACAUCAGCACGAUUCGGUGAAUACGUUACCGGCCCUCGUACACACCUCCCGUCACACCAUCCGAGUGGGGGGUACCCGAAGUCGGUAGGCUAACCGCAAGGAGGCCGCUGCCGAAGGUACGCUUCGUGAGGGGGGUGAAGUCGUAACAAGGUAGUCGUACUGGAAAGUGCGGUCGGAUCACCUCC